rnacentral:rRNA from 1 species
CGAGGAAAAGAAAUCAACCGAGAUUCCCCCAGUAGCGGCGAGCGAACGGGGAGGAGCCCAGAGCCUGAAUCAGCAUGUGUGUUAGUGGAAGCGUCUGGAAAGGCGCGCGAUACAGGGUGACAGCCCCGUACACAAAAGCGCAUGUGCUGUGAGCUCGAUGAGUAGGGCGGGACACGUGGUAUCCUGUCUGAAUAUGGGGGGACCAUCCUCCAAGGCUAAAUACUCCUGACUGACCGAUAGUGAACCAGUACCGUGAGGGAAAGGCGAAAAGAACCCCGGCGAGGGGAGUGAAAAAGAACCUGAAACCGUGUACGUACAAGCAG